GAGAGAGAAAGAGGCAGAGAGACAGAGAGGGGCUUCAGGUGUCAGUGCAGGGAGCUGUGGAUGCUGCAGGACUUCACAUCAGCCGCUGCGUUCUGGGGUCCCGUGGUGGGGGAGAGCUGAGGUUGGACAGCAAAGGAGGAGACAUUGCCAAGAAAAGACUGAAUAAAGGGUUGUGUUAUUUUCCACACAAGGAUGGGCUGGGAUUGCUGCACUGACUGCACGACACGGGAGUAUUUUCAUGGCC